GACAAACGCUGGCGGCAUGCCUAACACAUGCAAGUCGAACGGACAGAACAGGGAAGCUUUUCGGAGUGGAACUGGAAAGUUAGUGGCGGAUGGGUGAGUAACGCGUGGACAACCUACCUUGUAAAGGGGAAUAACCUCGAGAAAUCGAAGCUAAUACCCCAUAAUACCCUUGCUUCGCAUGAAGUAAGGAGGAAAGGCGGCCUUAGCGCUGUCGAUACAAGAUGGGUCCGCGUCUGAUUAGCUAGUUGGUGAGGUAAAGGCUCACCAAGGCGACGAUCAGUAGCCGGCCUGAGAGGGUGAACGGCCACAUUGGGACUGAGACACGGCCCAAACUCCUACGGGAGGCAGCAGUGGGGAAUCUUCCGCAAUGGGCGAAAGCCUGACGGAGCAAUGCCGCGUGAGUGAAGAAGGCCUUCGGGUUGUAAAACUCUGUCCUUAUCGAAGAGAGAGUGUUGUAGUAACUGACAAUACUAGGACGGUAGAUGAGGAGGAAGCCCCGGCUAACUAUGUG
rnacentral:rRNA from 1 species